rnacentral:rRNA from 1 species
UACGUAGGGUGCAAGCGUUAAUCGGAAUUACUGGGCGUAAAGCGUGCGCAGGCGGCUUUGCAAGACAGAUGUGAAAUCCCCGGGCUUAACCUGGGAACUGCAUUUGUGGCUGCAUGGCUGGAGUGCGGCAGAGGGGGAUGGAAUUCCGCGUGUAGCAGUGAAAUGCGUAGAUAUGCGGAGGAACACCGAUGGCGAAGGCAAUCCCCUGGGCCUGCACUGACGCUCAUGCACGAAAGCGUGGGAAGCAAACAGG